UUGAGUUCUGUCUCAGAAAAUCCCAUAAAUUCUAGGGAUAUUAAUAAAGAGAUCAAGACAUAAAAUAAUGUCAUGAUUAUUAGAUAUUCUUCUUGAUAUAUAAUCAAAUACUUCAAGAAGAACAUCCACACAACAAUCGACUCAUGGAGAUCAAAUCAUUCAGAGAGAUGUGCAUCAUCCUACGUUCCAGAAUAUACUGAUCCAACCCUCGAAUCACCAAAAACAAUCCGGAAAAAAAAUCAAAGAAUAAACAGAAUUGUAACCUACAAUAUUAUCAAUAAAAUUAUUUUUUCGUUAUAAUUAUUUGUCCCCCCCUCCAAAAUAUUGUCUAGGCAUUAAAUUCAGUAGACAAGGUCCUUUCGUGUUCUUUUUCCCAUCCUUGUUUUUGGUCCUCUAUUUUCACGCACUUGUUACUUUUUGUUGUUUGAAAAACAAUGCAGAAGGAAGUAGAG
rnacentral:lncRNA from 1 species